UGUUUUAUAGUUUAAGAAAAAAUAUUAAAUUGCAAAUUUAAAGAAAUUUGAGUAAUUUGAAACAU
rnacentral:tRNA from 1 species